UGGAACAUGAUGUAAAGUAG
rnacentral:snRNA from 1 species